rnacentral:rRNA from 1 species
ACUGUCCUACGGGGCGCAGCAGUGGGGAAUAUUGGGCAAUGGGCGCAAGCCUGACCCAGCAACGCCGCGUGAAGGAAGAAGGCUUUCGGGUUGUAAACUUCUUUUCUCAGGGACGAAGCAAGUGACGGUACCUGAGGAAUAAGCCACGACUAACUACGUGCCAGCAGCCGCGGUAAUACGUAGGUGGCAAGCGUUAUCCGGAUUUACUGGGUGUAAAGGGCGUGUAGGCGGGAAAGCAAGUCAGAUGUGAAAACCACGGGCUCAACCUGUGGCCUGCAUUUGAAACUGUUUUUUUUGCGU